UCCAAGGCACCAUUACCUGUGGCCCCUGCUGUGGUUUCUACCGGUGCUCUCUGCUGCCUUGUUUGCUCACCCAUCAUCAUCCUCAAGGAGCUGCCAGGAAGAUCUUCUAAGAAAUAAGGCCAGAUGUUUUAUCCUGCUAUGUUAAGUCAUCUUGACAUGUUGCCAUGAAAUGGAAACAACUGCUCGUUUUAAUAUCGCUCCAUAUCUUUAUUGCAAGACAACCCCAAACCAGAAGCUGAGACAAGGACUUGCAUGCAGGCAAUAUGUUUUGCAGAUAAUUCCAGGAAGCAAGUGUGAGAGAGUAUGAGAUGAGACAAGGAAAGUGAAAUCCAAUACAAGGAUGCAUUACUGAAGUCACUGCUGCAGGCAACAAGACUCAAUUCCACCGGGACUUUCUGAGAAGCAUCUAGAAAGGUUCCUGGAAUUGAGCCCCCAAAGGACAGGAGUCUGGAGAAUUUAUUUACAGUUUCCCAUUCCCUAUUGAUUGAGAGAUGUUGCUGGAAGCAUUCCAAGAUGUGGGCAGUGGUUGCAGUGGACAGCUGUCAGUGCAAGACUAGUCUGAGUGCACGUGGCACUGCCCUUUGCAGCUAUGGGUGACAUCAGAGGAUGAUCCGUACACGUGGAGCAGUGCACCAGCCAUGAGUGUUACAAAUACUUCAGCAGAAAGAUAAAAACAGGGAAAUCUUGAAAGAAAAAGUAAGUGACUAGACGAGAGAUUCAAGAGACCCAACGUAGAAAGAGAAGAUGUUGCAGAAGGAAAAAGAUAGAUGGAGAAGAAAUAAUAAAUAAAAACAUCAUCAUCAGCAGCAACAAUGACAAGAUAAGCAAGAGACAUUCAAGAGAAAAAUUCCUAUGAGCUGAGGAUAUACUUAUACCAUUUAUAUGCUGUUAACUCCCAGAUUCAUUUCUUUAGAUACAACCUAUACUGUGGGAUGCAAACUUGCACAUCCUACCCUAUGCUUAUGCAACAUCUCCACUGGGGCGUCCAAUUAAUUUUUCCAGAAUAAUACAGUAAAUAUAGAACUUGUGAUUUCCCUCCUCCCUCUCCCACCCAAGCUUGCUCCUUUCUCAGUCUUACAUAUCUCAGUAGGCACCAAGCCAUUGUUUAGGCCACAAUCCCUAGAGUCACCUUUGAUUCCUCUGUAUAUCUCAUAUCCCACACCUAAUCUACUGGUUGGCUUUACCUUCAGUAUGUACCCCAUAUCUGACCACAUUUCAUUAUGGUAGUCCAAACCUUCAUCAUUUUUUUUUACCUGAAUUACUGCAAUGGCUUUCUGUGAUAUUGUGAUAGAAUAAAAAAUAUAUAGAUUUGG